rfam:Mus musculus chromosome 9, GRC primary reference assembly.
GGAGAGAUAGCUCAGUGGUUAAGAGCACUGGUGCUGUUCCAGAGGACCUGGGUUCAAUUCCCAGCACCC